AUACAUGUUGGAACAAUGGAGUAUUACUGCUGCAUCUGUUGCGUUUCUAAAGAAGACAGAGAAAAGUCUGCCAUAGAUAAGGAAAUCAACCGCGUACUUGCUGAGCAGGAGAAACAACAACAGGCACAAUAUAAGCUGCUUUUAUUAGGCACGGCAGAUAGCGGAAAGUCAACAUUUAUGAAGCAGCUGAGGCUCAUUCAUGGAAAAGGAUAUACAGAAGAGGAGAGGCAUUGCUUUGCAAGACUGAUUUACCAGAAUAUCUUUCAAGCUAUGCAAGCACUUAUACGAGCAAUGAUCAAGCUAAAGAUUCCUUACACCAGUCCACAGAAUGAGAUUUAUGCUCAAAGAAUUCAAAAUCAAGACCCAGAAAUGGUGAAGAAGUUACAAAGACAUUAUAUAGAAGCUAUUUGUCAUCUAUGGGCAGAUGAAGGCUUUCAGACCUGCUACAAAGACGGCGGACAGUUUAAGCUAGACUCCACUAAGUACUUCAUUGAUAACUUAGACCGCAUCGCAGCUGAUGAUUACAUCCCUACAUGUCAAGAUAUUCUCCGUGUCCGUGUGUCUACAACUGGCAUCCUAGAGUACACUUUUAGUGUCCAGAAGAUUAUACUCAGGUUUGUAGAUGUUGGGGGUCAAAAAUCUGAGAGAAGGAAGUGGAUUCAUUGCUUUGAGAAUGUGACAGCGAUCUUAUAUGUAGCUUCUCUCAGCGAGUAUGAUGAAGUGCUGAUGGAGGACAGCAGUGAGAAUCGAAUGAGAGAAAGUUUGUCUUUGUUCAACACUAUCAUCCACAAGCCGUGGUUUGCUAAAACAUCAAUCAUCCUUUUCCUGAAUAAAACAGACAUCUUAGAAGAGAAAAUUCAGUUCUCCGAUCUAGUAAACAACUUUCCUGAAUUUGAAGGCAAACGUCAGAAUGUUCAUGAUGCAAUGGUGUUCAUCAGAAAGCUCUAUGAAGAAAAAACACAUUGCCAAGAGACAAAUACCUGCAGAAACAUUCAUUGUCAGUUUAUAUGCGCCAUGGACACCACAAAAACCCGUGAACUCUUUGAUUAUGUCAAAGAUAUUGUCCUUACUGAGAGCCUAAAGGAGUACAAAACUUUAUAAAUCUCGAUUCCU